rnacentral:rRNA from 1 species
AAUUUUGGACAAUGGGGGAAACCCUGAUCCAGCCAUCCCGCGUGUAUGAUGAAGGCAUUCGGGUUGUAAAGUAUUUUUUGCAGAGAAGAAAACGUAUCUCCUAAUACGAGAUACUGCUCACGGUAUCUGUAGAAUAAACUCAGGCUACCUACGUGCCAGCCGCCGCGGUAAGACGUAGAGUGCAAGCGUUAAUCGGAAUUACUGGGCGUAAAGCGUGUGUAGGCGGUUCGGAAAGAAAGAUGUGAAAUCCCAGGGCUCAACCAUGGAACUGCAUUUUUAACUGCCGAGCUAGAGUAUGUCAGAGGGGGGUAGAAUUCCACGUGUAGCAGUGAAAUGCGUGGAUAUGUGGAGGAAUACCGAUGGCGAAGGCAGCCCCCUGGGAUAAUACUGACGCUCAGACACGAAAGCGUGGGGAGCAAACAGG